rnacentral:rRNA from 1 species
GAUGAACGCUGGCGGCGUGCCUAAUACAUGCAAGUCGAGCGAACAGAUGAGGAGCUUGCUCCUCUGACGUUAGCGGCGGACGGGUGAGUAACACGUGGAUAACCUACCUAUAAGACUGGGAUAACUUCGGGAAACCGGAGCUAAUACCGGAUAAUAUAUUCAACCGCAUGGUUCAAUAGUGAAAGACGGUUUUGCUGUCACUUAUAGAUGGAUCCGCGCCGCAUUAGCUAGUUGGUAAGGUAACGGCUUACCAAGGCAACGAUGCGUAGCCGACCUGAGAGAGUGAUCGGCCACACUGGAACUGAGACACGGUCCAGACUCCUACGGAAGGCAGCAGUAGGGAAUCUUCCGCAAUGGGCGAAAGCCUGACGGAGCAACGCCGCGUGAGUGAUGAAGGUCUUCGGAUCGUAAAACUCUGUUAUUAGGGAAGAACAAAUGUGUAAGUAACUAUGCACGUCUUGACGGUACCUAAUCAGAAAGCCACGGCUAACUACGUG